rnacentral:rRNA from 1 species
UGCGUAGGUGGCGAGGUAAGUCUGAUGUGAAAUCUCCGAGCUUAACUCGGAAAUGGCAUUGGAAACUACUUUGCUUGAGGGUUGGGAGGGGGGACUGGAAUACUUGGUGUAGCAGUGAAAUGCGUAGAUAUCAAGUGGAACACCAGUGGCGAAGGCGAGUCCCUGGACAACUCCUGACACUGAGGCACGAAAGCUAGGGAGCAAACA